rnacentral:rRNA from 1 species
UGGGCUUGAAGUACUGGUAGUACAGAGAUGAAAAUCGACGGAACCGUUAAGCCGGUUGCCAGUAG